UCGAGUUUUACUAAUGCUGGUCUUGCUUAAAUAGAUCCCUAGGAUUCUAUAGCAGCCUUCUGGAACUGACAUAGACUUGAAGCUGAUUUUGAAUCCCUUCGUUCCUUUGGUUGGUCUUUGAUAUAUAUCGAUUCAUAUACAUAUUAGCCAAGUCCAUGACAUAUGCAUCAAGCAUUAAGCCAGGUCUGGAUAUCUUUCAAUAUGGUGC
rnacentral:lncRNA from 1 species